rnacentral:rRNA from 1 species
UACGUAGGUCCCGAGCGUUGUCCGGAUUUAUUGGGCGUAAAGCGAGCGCAGGUGGUUUAUUAAGUCUGGUGUAAAAGGCAGUGGCUCAACCAUUGUAUGCAUUGGAAACUGGUAGACUUGAGUGCAGGAGAGGAGAGUGGGAUUCCAUGUGUAGCGGGGAAAUGCGUAGAUAUAUGGAGGAACACCGGUGGCGAAAGCGGCUCUCUGGCCUGUAACUGACACUGAGGCUCGAAAGCGUGGGGAGCAAACAGG